UACGGUAGGUGGCAAGCGUUGUCCGGAUUUAUUGGGUUUAAAGGGUGCGUAGGCGGCUUUGUAAGUCAGUGGUGAAAUAUGGCAGCUCAACUGUCAAGGUGCCAUUGAUACUGCGGAGCUUGAGUACAGAUGAGGUAGGCGGAUUGACGGUGUAGCGGUGAAAUGCUUAGAUAUCGUCAAGACACCUAUAGCGAAGGCAGCUUACUAGGCUGUAACUGACGCUGAGGCACGAAAGUGUGGGGAUCAAACGG
rnacentral:rRNA from 1 species